rnacentral:tRNA from 1 species
CGAGGGGUGGAGCAGCCUGGUAGCUCGUCGGGCUCAUAACCCGAAGGUCGUCGGUUCAAAUCCGGCCCCCGCAACCA